CUGAAAACUAGUUUUGAUGAUGAUUAUAUCUGAGCAAACAUAUAUAUUUCCGCUAUGAAACACUAAUGGCUAGCAUGAAUUGGAAUUUUCAUCAUGAUCAUGAAUAUCAUCUGACUUUCUUCUUGAAAUCCUUGAAAAUUGUAUACCAGGGCCUUUAAACAGUUGGGAAAAACCUACAUUUGGGCCUUGAAACGAGUGGGAAAAUCUUGCUCUUGCCUGUGCUUUUUUUGAAAAUUUGUGGCAUUCAUUCAUCUUGGCAACUUAUAGUUCGCUGACCAUAAAAAUGGUUUCUGGAGCAUUUUUUUUAUGUUUUUGCUUGCUAGGCAUAUAUAUUCUCUGGAUCUUCGAUGUUUUAGGUUAGGGGCCUAGUUCUUCUACCAUCCUUAACCAUAAGUCCAGGAAAAAAGAGAAUCCUCAACAUCAAAUUGCUCAGAUUGCUGCCGAAAAAGAGUGACAAAAGGGAGGGAAAUGUUAAGUGGGGUCACUGCCCUAAGCAUUAAUCUUAACAGGGAAAAAUGUAUUGCAAUCUCUGGCUGCCUCAAUUCAGGCACUCAGGGUUGAUAAUGUUGUGAUAUGGGCAUAGCAAACAGUGAUCGUUCCACAAAAUGAAGCAUUUCAUGCUGAUAGUUGCGUAGAUUGAUAGGCAAAUUUUAGCUACGCUUUUAUGUUUCUGCUUUGUUCUUCCAGCUGAAGAAAUUGUUUUUACAUGGUAUUUUUUCCAAGCAGAUUCUGAUUUACAUCUUUAUCCUAUUUUGCAGGCUUGUGAAGGAAGAAGCAAAUGCAAUAUUUCAGUUUCAAAUGCUGCAUUUGGAGGUGACCCAUGCCAUGGCAUUGUUAAAACAUUGGCCGUUGAGGCAAGA
rnacentral:misc_RNA from 1 species